UAGCGCGGUGGUCCCACCUGACCCCAUGCCGAACUCAGAAGUGAAACGCCGUAGCGCCGAUGGUAGUGUGGGGUUUCCCCAUGCGAGAGUAGGGAACUGCCA
rnacentral:rRNA from 1 species